AUGACAAAAGGAAAAAGGUCACAAUUUCUUGAGUAUCUUCCUUUCUAUUUUGCAGCUACUGCCAUGCUGAUCGGACAGCAAGCCCAGAACAGUGUUUUAUCUCAGUCUUUCCUUCAAGUGACUGCCUGUUGCCUUUCCCAGGCCAUUUCCACUAUAAGAAGUGUUCACCAUAGAAACAAUCAGGAGAUGAUGCAAACAUGGGCAGAUACAUAGUCUCUGUCUCAUCAUCCAGUAAGUAUUGACUUUUCAAGUGAGAAUUUAUUUAUGACUACAGUGUGACCAGCAUGAAUGAAUUGAGCCUUCAAGUGUUGCUAGAUUCCUAUUGUCCCAUGACAGAGGUUUGGUGAUCCACCUUGGUUUUUAUUCCAGGCUGUAAAAGAGUUACCCCAAAGGCAGAACCCUGUCCCCAAAACAUGUCCUUCAUUUUGGGUAUUUUCUUUAAAAUCUGGAAAGAAAAUUGCUGUUCCCUCACUAUUGAUGCCACUGACCAUUUCUGGUAUGCCCCAUUAGUUAUACUACAGCCUCAUCACACCAGAGCAUGGAUUGACUUUAAAUCCGGUUUCGACCUCUUGAAGAAUCCUGGGGUUUAUAGUUUAGUGAGGCCCAGAACUGUCUACUGAGCAGUUUAAAGGCCUCCUUCCCUAAACUAUAAGCCUGCCUUCUUCAAGAGGCAGAAACUGAAUUUAAAGUGGAUCAAUGCUAGUCAAGAUUGAUGAGAAUUUCAGUCCAGCAUUCUCUGGAGGACCACAAACUACUCACACAUAUUUACAAACUGAAUAUUGGCCAAGCCACCGUUUCUGCUGAUAUUUCUCCCCAAAAAUGUUGGACAUUUUCAUUUAUGCAGGAUGCUCAGAACCCAUUUUCAGAGAGGUGUACAAACAUUAAUGUUCCAUCCUUGAUGUCAUGAAGGGGAAUGGGAGAAAAGAGCAACUAUUUGAUUUAUAGCUUGCAUUUCUCCCAAAAUUUGACUCGAAACAGUUAGCUCUGGAGCAUUUUUGUAGGACAACAUCAUCAGCUGGAGUAUAUGUUAAUUUAUUUACUGUGCAUUUUAUGCUAUCCAACUAUCUAAAAGGUAGGCCUUUCUACUCAUGAAAUCAAUGGCUGUGUUAUGACCUCAUCACACUUGAGAGGGGAAAGCAUGGGUGACUGUCCCUUUGAGAUAACGAAUUGCCCCUCUUAUUUUUGGAAAGGCAUGACCUUUCAGAGACCAUAACCUUUUGGAAAACCAGGAAUCUCCGUAGCUUUUUGGAAGUGUGGCCCUUUUGGAGAUUAAUUGACAUUCACAUUAUUUGAAAUAAUCAUAACCUUUUGUAAAGUAUGAUCUUCCUGAGAAGAGUUCAAUACUCUCCUUAGUGGUAAAUAUCCACUAGUACUCAUGCAAGGCAAAUUAGGCUUCUCAGCUGUUAGAUUGAUAUACCCGGUUAUCUCUCUGAACUGUUAGGAACAAAGAUAUGCCAAUGCACAAAAUAUAUAGCAGAUCUUCAGAAGUGUUAUUUCAUCCCCCCCAAAAAAAACUAUUCUCCCAAAAAUAUAUUGCUUUUAAAUUAUGCUCUCAAGAGACUAAACAUUAGUAGUCUUCGUUAAAAGUAGCAUUCUGUUUUAGUCUCUUCUUUGCUGCACACAGACUAAUACUCUUCAGUCUACUACAUUACUGAACAUUGACUCAAUUACAGACUGACUAUAAGGUAAAAGUAAAGGUUUCCCCUGACGUUAAGUCCAGUCGUGACUGACUCUGAGGGUUGGUGCUUGUUAGUGUAUGUUUAUGUUUUGAGGUUGAAAUGUUAUAUCAAAUUAAACUGUUUGGUGUUUUGCAACUGUGUUUCCAGCAAAGCAUUUCAGCAGUGCAGGAGUUUUAAUCACUAGACUGCUUGAGUGAUUGCCCACAGGACCUAUGGGGCACAGUUUCCGUUUGAACUGUCUGGCCGGAACUCAUGAACUGUGGGAUGUGCUUUCUUAUCAGUUGAGCUGUGUGAGCCGUUUGCUGUGUGGAGAGGCAAAAGAAAAAUGCCAGCUUCCAGCGAUGGCUUUUGCUGCGUUUGUAAAUAUGAUUUGUAAAUACUGAAUAAAUGUUUGAACUUCAGACUGCAGAUGUCUGUGAGUCUGUACUGCUACUCAGAACGAGAGCAGCAGUCUGACAUUGGAGAGGAAUUGGUGAGGGCAGAAGUUCACCGAUUCAUCAGGGUGCUGAUCUGGAGCUGAUGAUCGAUGGUUUUAAAGAAACCCACCAACAGACGCACCCUGACCCCUGGCUCUGAUUUUUCACACGUCAGACGCACCCUGACCCCUGGCUCUUCUGAUUUUUGACAGUGCUCAUCUCCAUUUCUAAGCUGAAGAGCCGGUGUUGUCCAUAGACACCUCCAAGGUCAUGUGGCCGGCAUGACUGCAUGGAGCGCCGUUACCUUCCCGCCGGAGUGGUACCUAUUGAUCUACUCAGAUUUGCAUGUUUUCGAACUGCUAGGUUGGCAGGAGCUGGGGCUAACAGCGGGCGCUCAUUUCGCUCCCGGGAUUUGAACCUGGGACCUUUUGGUCCACAAGUUCAGCAACUCAGCACUUUAACACACUGUGCCACCAGGCGCCCGGCAUACUGACACUACCAACUGUAUACUGUACAGACUGACUUCUAAACUGUAGUAUACUGCUUCUGAUUCAAGCUGGCUUCUAAAAUGGAGUCUCAGUCUGAGUAGUCCCAGAUCUGGUCGCAUGGUCUGCAGUCCCUCCCACAACCGCAAACAUAGAGUUAAAGGGAAACUGCAUAUCAAAAUAUACAUACAAUAUAGUAAGCAAUCACAAUUAUAUAUAUAUAAAUUAUAUAUAUAAAACAACAGUGCUCAUCUCCAUUUCUAAGCUGAAGAGCCGGUGUUGUCCAUAGACACCUCCAAGGUCAUGUGGCCGGCAUGACUGCAUGGAGCGCCGUUACCUUCCCGCCGGAGUGGUACCUAUUGAUCUACUCAGAUUUGCAUGUUUUCGAACUGCUAGGUUGGCAGGAGCUGGGGCUAACAGCGGGCGCUCAUUUCGCUCCUGGGAUUUGAACCUGGGACCUUUUGGUCCACAAGUUCAGCAACUCAGCACUUUAACACACUGUGCCACCAGGCGCCCGGCAUACUGACACUACCAACUGUAUACUGUACAGACUGACUUCUAAACUGUAGUAUACUGCUUCUGAUUCAAGCUGGCUUCUAAAAUGGAGUCUCAGUCUGAGUAGUCCCAGAUCUGGUCGCAUGGUCUGCAGUCCCUCCCGCAACCGCAAACAUAGAGUUAAAGGGAAACUGCAUAUCAAAAUAUACAUACAAUAUAGUAAGCAAUCACAAUUAUAUAUAUAAAACAACUUGUAUAGGAGGCUUGUAGAAGGUUGCUAUUUCCAACACUUUUAUCGACAGCAAUCCCAUUUCGAGUUUCACCUCCCCAUUACACUCAACAUGUGGAAAGUUAAGAGCUAGCAAUACAUUCAUCUUCACAAGGUCA
ensembl:lncRNA